GCAGACAAGCAGCGCAGACGGCGGCGGCGUCAGCUGAGGCAGAACAACAACAACAAUGGAAAGCGUACCAAAAAAAACAAAUAAAACAAAAACACACACAGUUGUUCGCUUACUUUACAGUCGAAACAUAUAUCGUGUGUAAAACUUAAAUCUGGCAUUGCUGAUAUUCUUCGAGCUGCCGUAUUAACAUAAGGAUCAAACGGCUAAUUGAUUGAAAUGGUUGCAAUUUGUUGAUUUUGAUUUGUUUUUGAAACGCAGCAAAGCAACGGAAAACACAUGGCAUAGAAGAGAGUGGCGCUCUCUUGCGCGCUCUGAGAGCACAAGAGCGCAAUGAGCGCGUGGCAAACACAUGGUUUUUGUUGUUGCCAAAACGUAGAAGUAGCGAAAGAAGAAGAAACAGCGCUUACAGUUACCUCGCGUUGUUGUUCUUGAACAGUGGCACAUUUUAAAGAAACAAACGCAAACGUUAAUAAUAUUGUAAUAUGUUACAACUUUAUGGAACUACACAAUAAAACUGCUUUGAAUUGUAAAAUUAGAUAACAAAAGAAUGAAGGUAAACUUUGACGUCACUAUGCGCAUGUUGUUGCUGUGCAGCGCAAACGACGACGACAGCGACAAAUGUGUAGAUCAACAGAUCAGUCACUCAAAAAGCGAAACUAAAAAGUAACCAAAUAAAAAAAUGAAACAAAACAAAAAGAACGUUUCUAAAAAGACAUUUUCCACCGAACAAACACACACACGCACACACAUACAAGCCGCAGGUAUACUACAUAUCUGUAUCUGAGUGUGGAGUAUGUUUGUAUAAUCAUGUGAUACCAAAAUAAAGAAAAAUUUGAAAAUCAAAUAGCAGCGACAGCGGCCAGGGCACUAAAAGUCACAAGCAAAAGUGGAGCAAUAAAGCAAACAAGCCCGACAAAUUUUCUGUUGCCAUGUACAACCCCAGACCACAACAGCACCAUCCCCAUCCCCAUCGACAUCGCCAUACGCAUCCGCACUCCCACGAAACCAUCCCAUCAAAACCGAACGAUCAAACCAUCUUCAUCAUCGCCACUAUCACCAUCAACCCGUCCAAUGUCGCAUGUAGUUUCGAAUCGGAUUCGAAAUAUGCAAAUGCCGAGCACCGAAAUUGAAUGCAAUUAAAAACCACACACAAUAUCACACACAGUUCACAUAGGAAUCGUAUUGAAGAUAUCAGCUACAGUAUCUGUAACAUUGCAGAACUAUACCUUCUGGUUGGAUAUGUCUUUAAGACACUUUUGACCUUGAGUGGAAAAAUCCCAAUGUGUUGUUGGUAAUCCUACCUAACUAACAUUUUGCAAUGCGUGGCAAUUAAAACCAGAGUAGAAAGUAAUCCCUCCACUGGAUUCCCCUUGGGUGGUGAUCCACCCACUCAAGGCUGCCCAGCUGAUUGAUGUCGCAUCAUCGAUGUUAAAUUCAAGCCACCACCGGAAAAUAGAAGAGCCGACUGGGAUUGCGGGCAACCCCUGUAAGCAUACACUUAACUGGCACUUGGGCUGGGCAACCUUAUAACAUAAUUACUGCAUAUCAAACAGCGAUAAGUUGCCCACGCCACUUCACUCCGAAAUCACUCUGGAGUUCAUCUUCCCACCCAUGGAGUUGCUUAGCAACCCUCCUCGUGCUCACCUGGUGUGCAACCCUGAACGAAGUCUAUGUUCGCCAUUCAGGCGCGGUUGUAAUCUUUGAAAAGCGUGUAUCGUGUAAUUG